rnacentral:pre_miRNA from 1 species
GUAGUCGUAUUCAUAUCAAUCCACAUGUGUUGAGGUGGAUUGGAGUGGAACUUGAAUUAAAUUCCACCCCAAUCCACACCAACACACAUGGAUUGAAGUAAAUACGACA